UACGGAGGGUGCAAGCGUUAUCCGGAUUCACUGGGUUUAAAGGGUGCGUAGGUGGAUUGGUAAGUCAGUGGUGAAAUCUCCAGGCUUAACUCGGAAACUGCCAUUGAUACUAUCAGUCUUGAAUACCGUGGAGGCCAGUAGAAUAUGUCAUGUAGCGGUGAAAUGCUUAGAUAUGACAUAGAAUACCAAUUGCGAAGGCAGCUGGCUACGCGAAUAUUGACACUCAGGCACGAAAGCGUGGGGAUCAAACAGG
rnacentral:rRNA from 1 species